rnacentral:lncRNA from 1 species
GAGGAGCCUCUCCGCCCGGCAGCCACCCCAUCUGGGAAGUGAGGAGCGUCUCCGCCCGGCAGCCACCCCGUCCGGAAGGGAGGUGGGGGGGGUCAGCCCCCCGCCCGGCCAGCCGCCCCAUCUGGGAGGGAGGUGGGGGGUCAGCCCCCCCGCCCGGCCAGCCGUGCCGUCCGGGAGGGAGGUGGGGGGGUCAGCCCCCCGCCCGGCCAGCCGCCCCGUCCGGGAGGUGAGGGGCGCCUCUGCCCGGCCGCCCCUACUGGGAAGUGAGGAGCCCCUCUGCCCGGCCACCACCCCGUCUGGGAGGUGUGCCCAGCAGCUCAUUGAGAACGGGCCAGGAUGACAAUGGCGGCUUUGUGGAAUGGAAAGGCAGGAGAGGUGGGGAGAGGAUUGAGAAAUCGGAUGGUUGCCGUGUCUGUGUAGAUAGAAGUAGACAUGGGAGACUUUUCAUUUUGUUCUGCACUAAGAAAAAUUCCUCUGCCUUGGGAUCCUGUUGAUCU